GCCAGGUGUGGUGGCUCGCCUACAGACCCAGCUACUGGGAUGGCUGAGGGGGGAGGAUCACUUGAGCCAGGAAUGCUGAGCUGUAGGGUACUACGCCAAUCCAAUGUCUGCACUAAGUUUGGCAUCAAUGUGGUGACCUCCCGGGAGCAGGGGACCACCAGAUUGUCUAAGGAGGGGUGAACCGGCCCAGGUCAGAAACAGAGCAGGUCAAACUCCCUGCAGAUCAGUAGUAGGAUUGUGCCUAUGAAUAGCCACUGAACUCCGGCCUGGGCAACACAGCAAGAGCCUGUCUCUA
ensembl:misc_RNA Metazoa_SRP Metazoan signal recognition particle RNA